rnacentral:rRNA from 1 species
AACGAACGCUGGCGGCAGGCUUAACACAUGCAAGUCGAGCGCCCCGCAAGGGGAGCGGCAGACGGGUGAGUAACGCGUGGGAACGUACCUUUUGGUUCGGAACAACUCCGGGAAACUGGAGCUAAUACCGGAUAAGCCCUAACGGGGAAAGAUUUAUCGCCGAAAGAUCGGCCCGCGUCUGAUUAGCUAGUUGGUGAGGUAACGGCUCACCAAGGCGACGAUCAGUAGCUGGUCUGAGAGGAUGAUCAGCCACACUGGGACUGAGACACGGCCCAGACUCCUACGGGAGGCAGCAGUGGGGUAUAUUGGACAAUGGGCGCAAGCCUGAUCCAGCCAUGCCGCGUGAGUGAUGAAGGCCUUAGGGUUGUAAAGCUCUUUUGUCCGGGAAGAUAAUGACUGUACCGGAAGAAUAAGCCCCGGCUAACUUCGUG